GAAUUUUGGACAAUGGGGGCAACCCUGAUCCAGCCAUCCCGCGUGUGCGAUGAAGGCCUUCGGGUUGUAAAGCACUUUUGGCAGGGAAGAAAAGGCUCUGGCUAAUACCUGGAGCUGCUGACGGUACCUGCAGACUAAGCACCGGCUAACUACGUGCCAGUAGCCGCGGUAAUACGUAGGGUGCAAGCGUUAAUCGGAAGUACGGGGCGUAACGCGUGGGCAGGCGGGUCGGCAAGAAGGAUGUGAAAUCCCAGGGCUUAACCUGGGAACUGCAUUCUUAACUGCCGGGCGAGAGUAUGUCAGAGGGGGGGAGAAUUCCGCGUGUAGCAGUGAAAUGCGUAGAGAUGCGGAGGAAUACCGAUGGCGAAGGCAGCCCCCUGGGAUAAUACUGAUGCUCAUGCACGAAAGCGUGGGGAGCAAAC
rnacentral:rRNA from 1 species